rnacentral:rRNA from 1 species
GACGAACGCUGGCGGCGUGCUUAACACAUGCAAGUCGAACGGAAAGGCCCUGCUUUUGUGGGGUGCUCGAGUGGCGUACGGGUGAGUAACACGUGAGUAACCUGCCCUUGACUUUGGGAUAACUUCAGGAAACUGGGGCUAAUACCGGAUAGGAGCUCCUGCUGCAUGGUGGGGGUUGGAAAGUUUCGGCGGUUGGGGAUGGACUCGCGGCUUAUCAGCUUGUUGGUGGGGUAGUGGCUUACCAAGGCUUUGAAGGGUAGCCGGCCUGAGAGGGUGAGCGGCCACAUUGGGACUGAGAUACGGCCCAGACUCCUACGGGAGGCAGCAGUGGGGAAUAUUGCACAAUGGGCGGAAGCCUGAUGCAGCAACGCCGCGUGCGGGAUGACGGCCUUCGGGUUGUAAACCGCUUUCGCCUGUGACGAAGCGUGAGUGACGGUAAUGGGUAAAGAAGCACCGGCUAACUACGUG